AAGAAAAUGUUCGUAUAUUUCUUUUUCGCUAGCUUUUUUUUAUGAUAAAUUAAAAUAUAUGUACACGUGAAAAUAUAGGAGUUAAUUGAAAGGAGUUUUAACACAUAAUUAUAAAUUCACACACACACAUUCACAAUCAAUAUGAGAGCUUUCGAAGACUUUGUCCUAGACAGGGCCUACAUGAAACCCCAAUCAAACCAUAUCAGCCCACUUACAAACCACAACAAGGCC
rnacentral:misc_RNA from 1 species